ensembl:lncRNA
GAGGAUGAAGAGACCAGCACUCCCUCUCCACCACACAAGGAUACAGUGAGAAGCCCGCCACUGGCAAUUGGGAAAAGAGCCUGUAGCAGAAUCAGACUAUGCCGGCACCAUGAUCUCAGACUUCCAGCCUCCAGAACCUUCUUUCUUCAGAUAUCUAUCGAAGUUACAGCCAGAUGUCAAUGAGAAGUGCAGUUAUCUCCAGAGUCAUCUGAGUUCUGUGUCCAAGAUGGUGUCUUCAUUCCUGUGUCUGGUGCCCAAGCUUGAAUGGCUGCAAGAACUGGAGGCUGAACAUCUCUUUACACGUGACCUUUCUACGUAGCUUUCCCAUAGGGCUUCCUCAUGUCCGGGUGGUCUUAGAUAACUUCUUACCUGGCAGCUAGCUUUCCCUAAAAUGAAUGUUCCAAAAGACCAAGGUAGAAGCUGUGAGGGUUCUUUCAACCAAGUCAUGGAAAUGCCUUCUUCUGCAAUCUACUGCUCACUAGCUAAUCACAGUCCAGUAAGAAUGAAAGGGAGGUGAUUCCACAGGGCACUGGGAGGGGUGGUCCAUUGGGGUCCAUCUUUGAUGUCAGGUACUGUGUGUAUCUUGACUGGGCCUAAGCAGUUAGUUUCUGGACAUUCACAUAAUACUACCAACCAGUUCUUCACUUUGUAUCUGGAUUUUUUUUUUUUUUAGAUGGAGUUUCGCUCUUGUUACCCAGGCUGGAGUACAAUGGCGUGAUCUCGGCUCACCUGGGUUCAGGCAACUCUCCUACCUCAGCCUCCUGAGUAGCUGGGAUUACAGGCACGUGCCACCAUGCCCAGCUAAUUUUUUUUUUUUUUUGUAUUUUUAGUAGAGAUGGGGUUUCACCACGUUGAACAGGAUGGUCUCGAUCUCUUGACCUCGUGAUCCACCCACCUCGGCCUCCCAAAGUUCUGGGAUUAUAGGCUUGAGCCACCACACCCGGCCUGGAUUGGUUUUUUAAAUGCAUCGCAGUGACCAUGUAACUCAAAGUCUUCACAUCCUUCAGAUGUGGAAUUUGUAAUCCCAUCCUCAUGACACAGUUUUUCGCUAAUCAGAGUUUAAAAAGCUGGGUGUGAUGGUGUGCACCUGUAAUCUCCACUACUCAGGAGGCUGAGGAUUGCCUGAGCCCAGGAGUUGGAGGCUGCAGUGAACUAGGAUUACCUCACUGCACUUCAGACUAGGUGACAGAGUGAGACCCUGCUUUAAAAUAAUAAUAGUAACAAAGAGUUAAGGGACAUGCAUUUGGGAUUCUUAUUAGUUUUAGAAUUCAAAAUGUAUUAAGAGAUAGCCACAGUUUGAGUCCCCUCAGACCAGAACACAGUAGACAGCCUUCUCACAACACUUCCAUUCAGCAUUUGAAGACAGACUGUGGCUGCCAUUCAUACGAGAGAGAGACUGAGAGACAGAGACAGGGUCAGAGAGACAGGAACAGAGAAAGGCAGAGAAACAGAAACAGAGAUAGAAACAGAGAGGCAGAGAGACACAAUUUUCUAUUACGAUGAUGCCAUUCUCAUUCACUUGUACUCUGACAUCCUUGAGGGGUAGAGAAGAAAGUGGUGGAGGCUUGGGGAGCACACAAGCAAUUCACAACCAGCUGAUUUUCCAUGCCCAGCCAGCAGUACGUGGCCACCACUGAGGGAGCAUCACUAGCGGUGAUGAGGAUGCAUCAGUGGGGCUCCAUUGAGCAAACGGUGCUCAAUGGACCACUAUUGAGCAACAUGUUCAUUACAUUUCUGCAAAUAAAUAAAAGUUAAUUAAAUCAGGAAAAACUUAAAAUGAUGGCUUAAUUCAAGUAAAUAUAAUACAUUGUGGUGCCACUGGUAAUUCAUAAUUUUAUUGUUAACUUUAUUGUUACACAUAUUGCUCCUGGAUACAUGUUUAAAUGAAGAAUAAAACCAAGAAUGACUGAAGAAAAACUGAAUCACAGAGUACCUGCAGUCAUUAGAGAUGAGUGAAAAUUCCUGCUUUCCAACAAUCCGUCAGUUAGAUAGUCAGAGUGACAUGAAAGAGAUCUUUGUAAUAGACUUAUUCCUAGCAAAAUGAAACAUCUGAAAAUUGUUGUUAUUUUAAUUCAUGAAAUCACGCAUAUGUUCAUCUUGUAUUAAAGUAGCUUAUUAAAAUAUGC